rnacentral:tRNA from 1 species
GAAACCCGUUGUAAAAUAAGGCAUUACAGAUGAAAACGGCAGUGACUUCUAAUCUCAGGGUCGCCGGUUCGAGCCCGGCCGGGGUCA